rnacentral:rRNA from 1 species
UGGGGAAUAUUGCACAAUGGAGGGAACUCUGAUGCAGCGACGCCGCGUGAACGAAGAAGGCUUUCGAGUCGUAAAGUUCUUUUAUAUGGGAAGAUAAUGAGGUACCAUAAGAAAAAGCCCCGGCUAACUACGUGCCAGCAGCCGCGGUAAUACGUAGGUGGCUAGCGUUGUCCGGAAUCACUGGGCGUAAAGGGUUCGCAGGCGGAAAUGCAAGUCAGGUGUAAAAGGCAGUAGCUUAACUACUGUAAGCAUUUGAAACUGCAUAUCUUGAGAAGAGUAGAGGUAAGUGGAAUUUUUAGUGUAGCGGUGAAAUGCGUAGAUAUUAAAAAGAAUACCGGUGGCGAAGGCGACUUACUGGGCUCAUUCUGACGCUGAGGAACGAAAGCGUGGGUAGCAAACAGG